ACUUUCUUAGUAUAAAUAAGUAUAAUUAAUUUCCAAUUAAAAGGUUAAAAUUUUAAGAAAGUA
rnacentral:tRNA from 1 species